AACCGCCCGUCCCCAGCCCGCGGGGGUCGCGGUGCUCCGCGGGUGGGAGCCGGCCGCGGUGUCUGCCCGCAGCACUGAGCAGUGGACCUGCCUUUGCGCGUGCAUCGUAGAAUCAGAGAAUGGCUUGAGUUGAGAAAGACCCUAAAGAUCAGUCCUGUUGUUCCAACUCCCUGCCCUGGGCAGCAACACCUUCCACCAGACCAGGUUGCUCAGAGCCCCAUCUGACCCGGCCUUGAACGCAGCCAGGGAUGUGGCAUCCACAGUUUCUCUGGGUGAACCUGUGCCAGAGGUGUAUCUAGUACUGAACUCCCACUACUAGAGAACUGCUGUAAAAAUAUCAUAAAAGAGAAACAGGCUUUUGAAAGGCUGGAAGUCAACAAGGAGACCCUGUUAGACAUGUUUAAGUAUAACAACUUUUAACUGUCAUAUCCCUAAUGAGAAGGUGAAGACACCAACUACCACAAUAUACAGGUAAAGAAAUAUGCUUCUAAGAUAUUUUAUUUUUAUAGUUAGUUUAUUUAAAUUGAGACAGGAAUAAAUUGGGUUUUUGUUUUAGGUUUUUUUUAUUUUUAUUCUAACUUCCAAAUUCUUGUGUGGUUGGGACUUAGGUUUGCAAUUAAUAUUGCUACUUUUGUAAAACGAGGUAUUUUCUUUCUCUACUGGGACAGAUUAGGUCUCAAUUUGUGGACAAAUGGCAAAUCCAGUUUUUAUUCAUUCCCUCUCAUUUCAGUAAACUGAUUAAAAUAAGUUACCACCCCAGACAUUGGAUUGGUGCAUAGUGGGUAACACUAACUCUCAGCUUAUUGGGGGGUGAGGAACCUGCUUAUUUAGUUGCUCAUUCCAAUCAGUUGGUUGGAAAAUAGCAAAACCAUUUUUCUGUUUGAUAUGCAUAGUUUGAAAUUUCCUGGCCAGCUUUAACAAAGUUCACAUAUGGAACUAUAUGAGUUGGUGAGUGUGUUAUGAUGGUCUUGAUAAUAGAUCAGCUGUGCUGAGCAUUUACUGAGAGAAUAUUUCACUUCAGGUAGAAGGCACAGUUACAUUUAUGGAGCACUGAAUGUGCUGCACAUUGCAUAUUCAUAUUUAGUACCGUGUCAAGCACGGUGGAAUGUGUCAAG